rnacentral:sRNA from 2 species
GGUACUCGAUCACCGAAACAUGGGCAGGAGCGGGGGAACCAGGUCAGUCUGCGGUCCCCCCUGCUCCGGUGCGGGGGGUCGCUCGGGGUGAAGCCGCUCCCACAGCGGCCGGGCGAUUCCUCUCGCCCGAACCCGACAGCUCACCUCGUAGGCGUCGCAGAGGACCUGC